rnacentral:rRNA from 1 species
UACAGAGGUCCCGAGCGUUGUUCGGAUUCACUGGGCGUAAAGGGUGCGCAGGUGGUUGGGCAAGUUCGAUGUGAAAGCCCCGGGCUUAACCCGGGAAUGGCAUUGAAAACUGUUUGACUGGAGGAUCGGAGGGGGGACUGGAAUUCUUGGUGUAGCAGUGAAAUGCGUAGAUAUCAAGAGGAACACCAGUGGCGAAGGCGAGUCCCUGGACGAUACCUGACACUGAGGCACGAAAGCUAGGGGAGCAAACAGG